rnacentral:rRNA from 1 species
GUGGGGAAUAUUGGACAAUGGGGGGAACCCUGAUCCAGCCAUGCCGCGUGUGUGAAGAAGGCCCUUUGGUUGUAAAGCACUUUAAGCGAGGAGGAGGCUACCGAGAUUAAUACUCUUGGAUAGUGGACGUUACUCGCAGAAUAAGCACCGGCUAACUCUGUGCCAGCAGCCGCGGUAAUACAGAGGGUGCAAGCGUUAAUCGGAUUUACUGGGCGUAAAGCGCGCGUAGGUGGCCAAUUAAGUCAAAUGUGAAAUCACCGAGCUUAACUUGGGAAUUGCAUUCGAUACUGGUUGGCUAGAGUAUGGGAGAGGAUGGUAGAAUUCCAGGUGUAGCGGUGAAAUGCGUAGAGAUCUGGAGGAAUACCGAUGGCGAAGGCAGCCAUCUGGCCUAAUACUGACACUGAGGUGCGAAAGCAUGGGGAGCAAACAGGAUUAGAAACCCCGGUAGUCC